AACGAACGCUGGCGGCAUGCCUAACACAUGCAAGUCGAACGAGACCUUCGGGUCUAGUGGCGCACGGGUGCGUAACGCGUGGUAACCUGCCCUUAGGUUCGGAAUAACUCCCCGAAAGGGGUGCUAAUACCGGAUAAUGUCUUCGGACCAAAGAUUUAUCGCCUUUGGAUGGGCCCGCGUUGGAUUAGCUAGUUGGUAGGGUAAAAGCCUACCAAGGCGACGAUCCAUAGCUGGUCUGAGAGGAUGAUCAGCCACACUGGGACUGAGACACGGCCCAGACUCCGACGGGAGGCAGCAGUGGGGAAUAUUGGACAAGGGGCGAAAGCCUGAUCAAGCAAUGCCGCGUGAGUGAUGAAGGCCUUAGGGUUGUAAAGCUCUUUUACCCGGGAUGAUAAUGACAGUACCGGGAGAAUAAGCUCCGGCUAACUCCGUG
rnacentral:rRNA from 1 species